rnacentral:lncRNA from 1 species
CGCCCAUAGUAUUAAUCAGCCAUAUUUUUUAUGUCAGGAAUCAAUGUAUAAUAUAAUCAUGACAAUGGACAGCAAUAUUGCAAUUUAAUAACAACAAAUUUUUGUUCGCAUAAAUUUAGGAUACCAGCGUGUCCUCCUUUUAUUCAAAAUAUUGAUACGUAACAAAAUUUCAGUAGUUUUAAUACCUCAUGCUGACUUGGAAAACAAAACUAGUUGACCAAAACUGAUCAUAUGUGCACUUUUAUUUACAAAUCUAUAUACCCGCAUACCAUUGUACCGAGCGCCUUCAUGUCUUCUCCUGGCGCUCCUGUUCACAUUUUAGUAGGAC